rnacentral:tRNA from 1 species
AGGAGAGAGAGGGAUUCGAACCCUCGAUAAUUCUUUGUUAAAAACUAUACCGGUUUUCAAGACCGACGCCAUCAACCACUCGGCCAUCUCUCCGCAAUCGAAUUUCGAUUUUGACUUAUUUUAUCACAUGUUUACACCGAUAAAACAUGGGCAGUUGAUACGAUCAUUACUUCCAGAUAGAUGUAUCAUCUAUCAUAUCCUGUAUCAUAUCCCGUAAAGUAAAAAAAUGACUCGCGAACUCAUAUAUAGUAGAAAGUAAUUUUAUUCCUUUUCUAUUUUAUAUAGAUGUAUUUUUUAGCUGAUAGAGAGAUCAAAUGGGAUAAUUUUUUUCUUAGUAGUUGGAGGAUUAGAAACAUGACUAUUGCUUUCCAAUUGGCUGUUUUUGCAUUAAUUGCUACUUCAUUAAUCCUACUGAUUGGUGUACCCGUUGUUUUUGCUUCUCCUGACGGCUGGUCAAGUAACAAAAAUGUUGUAUUUUCCGGUACAUCAUUAUGGAUUGGAUUAGUCUUUCUGGUGGCUAUCCUUAAUUCUCUCAUCUCUUGA